AAUGGCAGCGAAAACUCCGCCUAUGUUUUGAGUAAUCGGAAAAACUGCAUUGCCACGCGAACACAGGCAAAGAAGUAAAACUAUUUACUUCGCCAACAACAGAGAAAAACGUACCACAACUUCAAAAUUAUGACAAUUUGUAUAUUGUGUAGCAGAACUGGUACCAAAACAAGUGGACAAUAACAUCAUGUAAGUCACGUUGAGGAGAAAACUUCCAUCCCCAUUGGUGCAGCAAAACUCCGCAACUGCCACUUUCAGUUAUGAUACGAUGCAGUAUGCAUCAGUGUCUUGGGGGAGAUGGAAAGCAGCAC